AUUGAACGCUGGCGGCAGGCCUAACACAUGCAAGUCGAACGGUAACAGGAAACAGCUUGCUGUUUCGCUGACGAGUGGCGGACGGGUGAGUAAUGUCUGGGACACUGCCUGAUGGAGGGGGAUAACUACUGGAAACGGUAGCUAAUACCGCAUAACGUCGCAAGACCAAAGAGGGGGACCUUCGGGCCUCUUGCCAUCGGCUGUGCCCAGAUGGGAUUAGCUAGUAGGUGGGGUAACGGCUCACCUAGGCGACGAUCCCUAGCUGGUCUGAGAGGAUGACCAGCCACACUGGAACUGAGACACGGUCCAGACUCCUACGGGAGGCAGCAGUGGGGAAUAUUGCACAAUGGGCGCAAGCCUGAUGCAGCCAUGCCGCGUGUAUGAAGAAGGCCUUCGGGUUGUAAAGUACUUUCAGCGGGGAGGAAGGGAGUAAAGUUAAUACCUUUACUCAUUGACGUUACCCGCAGAAGAAGCACCGGCUAACUCCGUG
rnacentral:rRNA from 1 species